rnacentral:sRNA from 1 species
UCCUUCAAUGAUAGGCCAUGGACAAGGC